CUUGAGCCUUCAGAGAGCAGCCUGUUCUAUCUGUUGGGGGUGGGCUUUGAGAAUUUAAAGACCUGCAAUGUAUGGUAUGGAGCUGUUGGAUUCUUGUCCAUAAAACUCUUCCCCUCUUGAAGCUAGAACCUGAUACAGUGGGUGCCCAAGAGAUGUAGGUCUGCAGAAAGUUCUUAUAAGGAAGAUCCAGUGAAGGAAGAAAAAGAUCUUUCAAGCUACUGCAUUGUGACUCAAGUAGGAUCCUGAGCCAGACUCAUACUGUGUUAAGACAUAUACUCUAGUUAGUCCCCUUUUCUUCAAAGGAGAGUGAUUUGUCUCUUAUGUAGCUGGACAAAUAUUUUUCUUUAGAAAGACAAACUCGCCGUCCUUUUCAGAAUUAGCCUGAAAGCUGUUCUGAUGAACAUUGUUGGCUCUCAGGAAGCCAGGGCUGAGCUUUGGGCUGGUGCACUGCCCAUCUUUAAUAUGCCGUGUGUUUUGCAUAAUAAAAAAAUACCCCAUGCACUCUUAACUGUGUGCACCUCAUCCUCUGUUUGGUUAUUUGACAGAGAUGAUGGCUACAGAAAUCCAGAGCCCCUCAGGCAGGCUGUUCUUUGAGGUUUGGGUGGGCUGCUUUUGGAAUGGCCCCCCAGCAAUGUGCCUCUUCUGUAGGACGUGCCGCUGCCAGAGAAGUGGUCACUUAGAAGCAGUCCUCACUCCCAAGCCAUUUUCUUCCCUGCAGUGCAUUUGCAAGAUACCCCAAUGGAGUGGUCGUGCACUACUUCUGUUCCAAAGAGGUAAACCCAGCUGACACUUGAGCCCAGCAUCCUGGGGAUCCAGCAGAUGGACAGCUUGGCUCUCCCAGAGAGGUGAAGGAGCACCUGGCCUUAGGAAUCCUGGCUGCCACCACCACAAGGCUCCCCAUUUGAACAUUACUGGCUAUCUUGUGCCCUGGAACAACUCUGAAUUAAUUAGACUCAUGGUCUGGCAUUGCCAGCUUUUUAAUGGGAAAAGAGAUUAGUUAUACCUUAUACCAUUAUGUUGUGGGCAAUUCCAGAGAAUUCAGUACCUGCUUGGUCAGGAGGAUGUGCACCAUCUUGCCUUUGCACACCAGUCACCUGAACAAGGAAACUUGUCACAAGUGUUUGUAACCAUGGGGUUGUUCAUCAAGGGCUUUUCUAUUAAGUACAUGACUUCACAAGGACCGCUCAGCAUGGCUCACUGGAGAGUUCCAUGAGAGAACAGCACUCAAGCUUCUGGCCGCAUGGACCCGAUGGCUCGCAUUCUGUGUAGUGUUUUACAUCUCCAUGGUAGCCGUGCCCUGCACCCCUCAGUAGCUGCCCUGUUAGUUUUCAGUCUCCUUUUCUUUCUCACCAUUUAUCACUUCCCUCACUGCCCUACCCAGGCUUUCUCUCCCACUUCCCUGACUCUGGGAAUAACUAAUAUUUAAGCAAGGUAAGAUGAGAAGCAAGGGGAAGUCUCAGUUCUAGGAAUACAGUGCUAGUUGAUUGUCAGGUAUGUUGUAAAUAGACCCUCUUUGCCAUACACUCCAUGCCUAGAUGCCUCGGAGAGCAUCAUUCUCUGCCUAGGCAAGGCCCUGCAUCCCUUGCCUCAGGCCGGGCUGAGUGUGACUGCAGCUUCUGAGGAUGGGCCUGCCCUGUCUGGGGUAUGCGUGAUCCCUAGAUACAUGUUCCCACAGAGGUGCCUGCUCCGUCUUCGCUCACCAGACACUCAGGCAGGCUGGCUUAGUCUUUGUGCGUGGCGAUUUUGUGCUCUGGGCCCUUUCUCUUUUUCCAGCCAGUUUCCAUUCACUUGCCUUACAGCCUGCCCUGACCGUCACUCCCAGCUUUGUUCAGCAAUGGUGUGGUUGGAGAGUUGUGCUGGGAUAGCGCAGGAAGGUGGGUCCCGGCAACACGCAGGGGAUGAGUGGACCUGGAACUGACAAUGGCGUGCUGCCAAGUGUUCCUGAGAGGUGUUUAGGCACAGCAGAGGGGACGCGGGGGGCAAGAACAGCAGGACGCUGGUUUAAAAAUAACUCACCGCCAAACCUGUGGAGCAGUGUGGGGGAUCCUGCCAGAGGUGCACAGGCUGGAGUUUCAGGCACUGCAGGCUGAUGACACACAGGGAGAGUGGCCCUGCCUCCUGUCCUCCCCGGGGUUUUUGCAGACUCGAAGUCUCACUGCACCAGUGUCUUUGAUGGUGGUGAGGGUGGGUGAUGGUGCCCAGCACCAACAGUUUUAGUGGCCUGUCCUUGACAUGCCGUGGUCCUUUGUAAACUAUGGCUCCAUGCUGUGUGACAGAUCAACGUGCUGAUGGUAAGUAGACUAGGCUUCCCCAGGCAUGCCGUCCGUGGGGGCCUGAAGAGACAGUGAGUGCCAUUGGCCCCAUUCGCAGAUGUGGGAGACUCUGCUCAGGCCUGUGAGGCUGGGCAGCCCUUCACCAGAGUUCGGAGGAGCAGUGUGUGGCGCCACGUCCCGACUGGCCAUACCCACACAGAAGCAGUGCUGCCCGGGGCCUCGUCUGGACCAGCUUGGACUCUGCUUCCUCCAGGAGCAGCAGGGAAGCUCUGGGCCGCCUCCCUGGAUAGCAGGAACUUGCCCUGCCACGUGUGCCCUGCCUUCCUGGCCAGCUGUGCUUGUUAUCUUCCAUUCUCACAAACCUUGUUUGAAGCAAUAGAAUAAAGAAUGUGUGUUUUCUUUCCUGGUAUACAUACAUGAUCCCAUGCUCCCAAGCUCCAUUCUUCCUUCCCUCAACUCUCUGCCCUCCACAGAGCUAUGGAGAAGGCUGGAGAUGAAAGCUUUGUAGUGAGGACUGAUAAAGAUCUCAUCACUGCUCCUUAUAAUAAACCUAAUAAAGCAAG
rnacentral:sRNA from 1 species